UUCUUGCUGGUGGGAUGAGGAGCAGAAAAAGACUCAAUUCUGGAAAGCAUUAUAGGUGUCAGCUCAGCAGAAGGCUGAUCUGGAGGCAGCAGCAGGAGGGACUGGGAGUGGGAACCACAAAACCUCAGCUCCCCUGCUUUUUUCUCUCCUGAUGGAGACAAGGUCCCAACUGGAUGAAAAGCUCAAGCAGUCCAGUAAUACCUUGAUAUUCAAGCCAUUACCUGCCAGUCACACAGAGAAAGGACUGAGGACACAUUCCAGAAAGAAUACCUUGAAGUGGAGUAAUGAAGGAAGAGGAACUACCCAAGAAGGCUAUAGAAUGUAUG